GGCGUUUUAAACUCCAUUACAGAUGUUACUGAUACUGUACGGUACGGUGAAGCAAGCACAGCUGAUGUCUCGUGGCAAUCAAUCCAACUCUAAUCCAUCCGUUCUCAUCUAGUUCUAAGACAUAUCGUUUUGGAGAAAUUCUUACUAUUCAUUACUACUUGAUCUUUAUCCUCUGAUUUUAACAUCAGGGAAAAUUACCUUAUACGAAAUUUGGAUUCAAUACUUCUUGUUCUUUAUCGUCUACUUUUUAACCAGAAUGAAAAGACAAGUGGAUUUUGAUUUAUCAAAACCAUGCCAUAAAUCAAAAAAAAGGGUUAUUUUAUUUUAAUAAAUUAUAUAUUUUAUAUUUUAUCUAUAUUUAUAUAUUUUUUUUUUGUUUAUUAAUUGUCUUUAGUAAGCAUAAUUUUCUACUCUGAUCCUAUAAUUUAACCUGAAUCCCCCUCUCUUUCCCUAUCGAUCCCUUACAGUGAUCAUUUACUGUAUUUUUUUUUUUAACCCUCUACUUUAUAUCUAUCUAAAAAACCUCAAAAAACUAUAAGAAUAUCUAUAACCGUGAAUCCCCCACUACCCACACAACCUAAUAUCUCUCUAUGCACCACCACCCCCCCC